UACGUAGGGUGCAAGCGUUAAUCGGAAUUACUGGGCGUAAAGCGUGCGCAGGCGGUUUUGUAAGUCUGUCGUGAAAUCCCCGGGCUCAACCUGGGAAUUGCGAUGGAGACUGCAAGGCUAGAAUCUGGCAGAGGGGGGUAGAAUUCCACGUGUAGCAGUGAAAUGCGUAGAGAUGUGGAGGAAUACCGAUGGCGAAGGCAGCCCCCUGGGAUAAUACUGACGCUCAUGCACGAGAGCGUGGGGAGCAAACAGG
rnacentral:rRNA from 1 species